rnacentral:tRNA from 1 species
GGCACUGGGGCGAUAGGUCAUGCAGCGGCCUGCAAAGCCGCGUACGCCGGUUCGAUUCCGACCCAGGCCU